rnacentral:rRNA from 1 species
CCUACGGGAGGCAGCAGUGAGGAAUAUUGGUCAAUGGGCGCGAGCCUGAACCAGCCAAGUAGCGUGCAGGAUGACUGCCCUACGGGUUGUAAACUUCUUUUAUACAGGAAUAAAGUGAGGUACGUGUGCCUUUUUGUAUGUACUUUAUGAAUAAGGAUCGGCUAACUCCGUGCCAGCAGCCGCGGUAAUACGGAGGAUCCGAGCGUUAUCCGGAUUUAUUGGGUUUAAAGGGAGCGUAGACGGGCUGUUAAGUUAGUUGUGAAAGUUUGUGGCUCAACCCUAGAAUUGCAUCGGAUACUGGCAGUCUUGAGUGUAGUUGAGGUAGGCGGAAUUCGUGGUGUAGCGGUGAAAUGCUUAGAGAUCAUGAAGAACUCCGAUUGCGAAGGCAGCUUACUAAACUGCUACUGACGUUGAUGCACGAAAGCGUGGGUAUCAAACAGGAUUAGAUACCCUUGUAGUC